UUUCGAUCGUACAAUUUACAGUUUUUUCAGAAUAAAAAAAAUUGUAUUCAUACAAUAUGAAAAAAAUUGCCAUUUUUUGUAUAGCAGUCUGUAUAACAUCUUUGGUCACACAAGGUCGGCCAUAUCCACAAGGUGGUGAUAAGCCGGAGGUCAAAGGUGAGAGUGAUUCGAAGAAAUCAAAAGACA